rnacentral:rRNA from 1 species
UGGGGAAUUUUGCACAAUGGGGGAAACCCUGAUGCAGCGACGCCGCGUGAUUUAGAAGGCCUUCGGGUUGUAAAAAUCUUUUGUAUGGGAAGAAAAUGACAGUACCAUACGAAUAAGGACCGGCUAAUUACGUGCCAGCAGCCGCGGUAAUACGUAAGGUCCGAGCGUUGUCCGGAAUCAUUGGGCGUAAAGGGUACGUAGGCGGAUAAGCAAGUUAGAAGUGAAAUCCUAUAGCUCAACUAUAGUAAGCUUUUAAAACUGCUCAUCUUGGGGUAUGGAAGGGAAAGUGGAAUUCCUAGUGUAGCGGUGGAAUGCGCAGGUAUUAGGAGGAAUACCGGUGGCGAAAGCGACUUUCUGGCCAUAUACUGAAGCUGGGGUACGAAAGCGUGGGUAGCAAACAGG